rnacentral:rRNA from 1 species
AUUGAACGCUGGCGGCAGGCCUAACACAUGCAAGUCGAACGGUAACAGGAAGACGCUUGCUUCUUUGCUGACGAGUGGCGGACGGGUGAGUCAUGUCUGGGAAACUGCCUGAUGGAGGGGGUUAACUACUGGAAACGGUAGCUAAUACCGCAUAACGUCGCAAGACCAAAGAGGGGGACCUUCGGGCCUCUUGCCAUCGGAUGUGCCCAGAUGGGAUUAGCUAGUAGGUGGGGUAACGGCUCACCUAGGCGACGAUCCCUAGCUGGUCUGAGAGGAUGACCAGCCACACUGGAACUGAGACACGGUCCAGACUCCUACGGGAGGCAGCAGUGGGGAAUAUUGCACAAUGGGCGCAAGCCUGAUGCAGCCAUGCCGCGUGUAUGAAGAAGGCCUUCGGGUUGUAAAGUACUUUCAGCGGGGAGGAAGGGAGUAAAGUUAAUACCUUUGCUCAUUGACGUUACCCGCAGAAGAAGCACCGGCUAACUCCGUG